rnacentral:rRNA from 1 species
AGAACGAACGCUGGCGGCAGGCUUAACACAUGCAAGUCGAACGGGCACUUCGGUGUCAGUGGCAGACGGGUGAGUAACACGUGGGAACGUACCCUUUGGUUCGGGAUAACGCAGGGAAACUUGCGCUAAUACCGGAUACGCCCUUUUGGGGAAAGGUUUACUGCCGAAGGAUCGGCCCGCGUCCGAUUAGCUAGUUGGUGUUGGUAACGGCUCACCAAGGCGACGAUCGGUAGCUGGUCUGAGAGGAUGACCAGCCACAUUGGGACUGAGACACGGCCCAAACUCCUACGGGAGGCAGCAGUGGGGAAUAUUGGACAAUGGGCGCAAGCCUGAUCCAGCCAUGCCGCGUGAGUGAUGACGGCCUUAGGGUUGUAAAGCUCUUUCGCGCACGACGAUAAUGACGGUAGUGCGAGAAGAAGCCCCGGCUAACUUCGCGCCAGCAGCCGC